AUCUGAAAAUGUAAGGUUGAUUCCUUAAUAAAAUACAAGUUACCAGAAUGGAUUUGAGAAGCUUAGAAACCUUGAGAAGACCAGUUAGUCUAGAAGAGGUAGGAAAAGUGGUUAAAAAUGACUAUUGAAAAAGGCAUCAGCAUUCCAUGGGUUUCCAGCUGAGUUUUAUCUAAGCUUUAAAAUCAGAAAAUGUUAUAUCUAUCAAAGCAAAUGCAGAAAUUCAAAAUAACUUACUAACAGAUCGACUCCUGAGUGGGUCAGAGGCACCAUGAUUAAUAGUUUAUUCUAGUAAUGCUAGGGCGAUGGUGUUAGGGAUACUGAUCACCAUCACACACAUUUGUACCCCAGAGUAUUAAAGGAGAAGAGCUUGUGCCCAGAUCAGAGGAGAGGAGCCGUUUGAUCAUGUAAGCAGCCA
rnacentral:lncRNA from 1 species